GAUGAACGCUGGCGGCGUGCCUAAUACAUGCAAGUCGAGCGAACAGACGAGGAGCUUGCUCCUCUGACGUUAGCGGCGGACGGGUGAGUAACACGUGGAUAACCUACCUAUAAGACUGGGAUAACUUCGGGAAACCGGAGCUAAUACCGGAUAAUAUAUUGAACCGCAUGGUUCAAUAGUGAAAGACGGUUUUGCUGUCACUUAUAGAUGGAUCCGCGCCGCAUUAGCUAGUUGGUAAGGUAACGGCUUACCAAGGCGACGAUGCGUAGCCGACCUGAGAGGGUGAUCGGCCACACGGGAACUGAGACACGGUCCAGACGCCUACGGGAGGCAGCAGUAGGGAAUCUUCCGCAAUGGGCGAAAGCAUGACGGAGCAACGCCGCGUGAGUGAUGAAGGUCUUCGGAUCGUAAAACUCUGUUAUUAGGGAAGAACAAAUGUGUAAGUAACUAUGCACGUAUUGACGGUACCUAAUCAGAAAGCCACGGCUAACUACGUG
rnacentral:rRNA from 1 species